rnacentral:rRNA from 1 species
UACGUAGGGGGCUAGCGUUGUCCGGAAUCAUUGGGCGUAAAGCGCACGUAGGCGGCUAUCUAAGUCGGAUGUGAAAUCCCUCGGCUUAACCAAGGAAGUGCACCCGAAACUGGAUAGCUUGAGUACAGAAGAGGAUCGCGGAAUUCCCGGUGUAGAGGUGAAAUUCGUAGAUAUCGGGAGGAACACCAGUGGCGAAGGCGGCGAUCUGGGCUGAUACUGACGCUGAGGUGCGAAAGCGUGGGGAGCAAACAGG